UACGUAGGGGGCAAGCGUUGUCCGGAAUUAUUGGGCGUAAAGGGCGCGUAGGCGGCUUGGCAAGUGGAAGGUGAAAUCCCUCGGCUUAACCGAGGAACUGCCCUCCAAACUGCUUCGCUUGAGACCGGGAGAGGUGAGUGGAAUUCCCAGUGUAGCGGUGAAAUGCGUAGAUAUUGGGAGGAACACCAGUGGCGUAAGCGAUUACCUGGGCUAGACCUGACGCUGAGGGACGAAGGCGUGGGAAGCAAACGGG
rnacentral:rRNA from 1 species